GAUGAACGCUGGCGGCGUGCCUAAUACAUGCAAGUCGAGCGAACAGAUAAGGAGCUUGCUCCUUUGACGUUAGCGGCGGACGGGUGAGUAACACGUGGGUAACCUACCUAUAAGACUGGAAUAACUCCGGGAAACCGGGGCUAAUGCCGGAUAACAUUUAGAACCGCAUGGUUCUAAAGUGAAAGAUGGUUUUGCUAUCACUUAUAGAUGGGCCCGCGCCGUAUUAGCUAGUUGGUAAGGUAACGGCUUACCAAGGCAACGAUACGUAGCCGACCUGAGAGGGUGAUCGGCCACACUGGAACUGAGACACGGUCCAGACUCCUACGGGAGGCAGCAGUAGGGAAUCUUCCGCAAUGGGCGAAAGCCUGACGGAGCAACGCCGCGUGAAUGAUGAAGGUCUUCGGAUCGUAAAACUCUGUUAUUAGGGAAGAACAAAUGUGUAAGUAACUGUGCACGUCUUGACGGUACCUAAUCAGAAAGCCACGGCUAACUACGUG
rnacentral:rRNA from 1 species